rnacentral:lncRNA from 1 species
GCCCCGGCCCGCAUACAACGCUGUCUGCACCGCUCCCCUGCCUUCUUCCGGGCUCCCAGAGCACCGCUAUGGAGAUGCUCUCCCGGCAUUUGAGGAAGAAUUGAUUGUCCUCAUCCUGCAACUGUACUUGCCCAACCGAUAUUUAUUGAUGCCUGCAGUGUCCUGGGUGCCUACCAAGGGGCACAGAACUGGAUCCGACGCAGACCCUGCCUGCCUUCAGGUUGCUUGAAGAUGAACAGAGAGAUCGGACCUCUGCAUGAAGCCAGACUGCUCAUCAUUCCAGACAUCUUCAGCUGCUACACCCAGAACAAGCAUUCGAAAUAUGAACAGGAUGGUGAGCCAGAUCUUUCCAAUCAUGGUGGAGUGGAUGUGAACUUCCUCCAGAGUAUCUCCAAGGAGAUUCCAGUCCCCCAUGUUUAUUUAGUCAGCCAUCUUAGCUCUGAUCCACAUCAAAUAAGAGGCAGAUAAAUUCUUCCAUUCUGAAGGGAGCACUAUUUCUUAAAGCAAACCUAUGGUGAAAAUAUAACAAUAUGUCACUUC